AUACGGAGGGUGCAAGCGUUAUUCGGAAUCACUGGGCGUAAAGGACGCGUAGGCGGGUUGGAAAGUCAGAUGUGAAAUCCUACAGCUUAACUGUAGAACUGCAUUUGAAACUUCUGAUCUAGAGUAUGGGAGGGGGAGAUGGAAUUAGUGGUGUAGGGGUAAAAUCCGUAGAUAUCACUAGGAAUACCGAAAGCGAAGGCGAUCUCCUGGAACAUAACUGACGCUAAGGCGUGAAAGCGGGGGGAGCAAACAGGAUUAGAUACCCUAGUAGUCC
rnacentral:rRNA from 1 species